rnacentral:ncRNA from 1 species
UUUUCUGAGAGUUCGAUCCUGGCUCAGGAUGAACGCUGGCGGCGUGGAUAAGGCAUGCAAGUCAAGGGACUCCAAUUGAUGAAAAUCAAUUGGAGGACCGGCGAACGGGUUAGUAACACGUAGAUUACCAACCCCAAAGACGGGCAUAACCAGUCGAAAGAUUGGCUAAUUCCCGAUAGUCCCUGAGAGAAAAUCUUAAGGGUAAAGGAGCAAUCCACUUUGGGAUGGGUCUGCGGCCUAUCAGCUAGUUGGUAAGGUAAUGGCCUACCAAGGCUAUGACGGGUAGGGGAGAUGAGAGUCUGUUCCCCAACAAGGACACUGCGACAUGGGUCCUACUCCUACGGGAGGCAGCAGUCGAGAAUAUUGGUCAAUGGGGGAAACCCUGAACCAGCGACGCCGCGUGCAGGAAGAAGGGCUUCGGUUUGUAAACUGCUUUUCUGGAGGAUGACUCCCGCAAGGGAAGACAGUACUCCAGGAAUAAGGGGGUGCCAAUUCUGUGCCAGCAGCAGCGGUAAGACAGAACCCCCGAGCGUUAUCCGGAUUUAUUGGGCGUAAAGGGUCCGUAGGCGCCCCGACAAGUUUUCUGUUAAAUCUCCUGGGCUUAACCUAGGAGCUGCAGGAAAAACUGGCGGGGUAGAGGGCAUUAGAGGUGGAUGGAACGGUCGGUGUAGGGGUGAAAUCCGUUGAUAUCGACCGGAACACCAAAAGCGAAGGCAUUCCACUGGGGUGACCCUGACGCUGAGGGACGAAAGCGUGGGGAGCAAAAAGGAUUAGAUAAAUCCCGUUCCGGCUCCACAAAACGGAACAAAGGGUGUCCCCUCUGACGGUGACGUCAGAGUGCGCAUCUAGCUAUAUCGGGGAAGCCCGUCAGUCGGCGGGUAAUCCCGAGGGAAGCAAGCGUGCCCGGCACGUAUUUGCCCCGUAGAGACUAGGAAUUAAAAUCAUAAUUCCAAUGGAGCUAAACGAUCGAUGUAAAGAAAUUAUUUUAGGUUCCUUACUUGGAGAUGAUUCGUUGGUUAUUCAACGGAAGAGUUGAAAAAAUUUCUGCGAAUAAUUUUAUCUCAUAUUCCUGUUGCGAGUAUGCUUUCUAAAGUAAUUCUUCUUUACAAAGACCAAAACCUCCAGCAACGCUGGAUUUCUGAAGUAAAUAAAUUAACAGGUUUUUCUUUCCCAGUUAUAGAAAAAUAUCUUAAUGAAAAGAAAAGCAAGUGGAAAAACUUCAGAAAAUGAUAUAGUCCGAUCCUCCGAGCAAUCGGAGCGCAAAAGUAAAAAAUUUGACCCUUGUAGUCCACGCUGUAAACUAUGGACACUGGCUAUCUGAAGUGUCGACCCUUCGGGUGGCGAAGCUUACGCGUUAAGUGUCCCGCCUGGGAAGUACGACGGCAACGUUAAAACUCAAAGGAAUAGACGGGGACCUACACAAGCGGUGGAUCAUGUGGCUCAAUUCGACAAUAAGCGAGGAACCUUACCAGGGCUUGACAAGCUAGUGAAAUCCUGGAGAAAUCUGGGACUACCCACAAGGACACUAGCCCAGG